rnacentral:rRNA from 1 species
GAUGAACGCUGGCGGCGUGCCUAACACAUGCAAGUCGAGCGGCAGCGAGGGGUGCUUGCACCCUGUCGGCGAGCGGCGGACGGCUGAGUAACGCGUGGGAACGUGCCCCAAAGUGAGGAAUAACUGCCCGAAAGGGUAGCUAAUACCGCAUAUUAUCUUCGGAUCAAAGGAUUUAUCCGCUUUGGGAGCGGCUCGCGUCGGAUUAGGUAGUUGGUGAGGUAAUGGCUCACCAAGCCGACGAUCCGUAGCUGGGCUGAGAGGAUGACCAGCCAGACUGGAACUGAGACACGGUCCAGACUCCUACGGGAGGCAGCAGUGAGGAAUCUUCCACAAUGGGCGAAAGCCUGAUGGAGCAACGCCGCGUGCAGGACGAAGGCCUUCGGGUUGUAAACUGCUUUUAUAAGUGAGGAAUAUGACGGUAACUUAUGAAUAAGGAUCGGCUAACUACGUG